rnacentral:tRNA from 1 species
GCCGCCGUAGCUCAGCUGGAAGAGCGCCGACUUGGUAGGUCGGAGGUCCCCGGAUCAUGCCCGGGCGGUGGCUCCA